rnacentral:rRNA from 1 species
CCCUUAGAUGUUCUGGGCUGCACGCGCGCUACACUGAUGCGCUCAACGAGUUUAUGACCUUGCCCGGCAGGGUUGGGUAAUCUUCUUAAAACGCAUCGUGAUGGGGAUAGAUUAUUGCAAUUAUUAAUCUUCAACGAGGAAUUCCUAGUAAGCGCGAGUCAUCAGCUCGUGCUGAUUACGUCCCUGCCCUUUGUACACACCGCCCGUCGCUCCUACCGAUUGAAUGGUCCGGUGAAAUCUCCGGACUGGCGUGAGUCGGAGCAAUCUGACAAACACCGGAAAGUUGAUUAAACCUUACCAUUUAGAGGAAGGUGAAGUCGUAACA